rnacentral:lncRNA from 13 species
GAAAUCAAAGGACGACACCUGGGUUAGCAACAACACUUACUGGGACCUGAGAAGGGAUCCAGGCUUUUCCCACCUGGACUGUCCUGUGUUGUGGUGACCUGAGAAGGGAUCCAGGCUUUGCCCACCUGGACUGUCCUGUGUUGUGGUGACCUGAGAAGGGAUCAAGGCUUUUCCCACCUGGACUGUCCUGUGUUGUUGUGACCUGAGGAGGGAACCAGGCUAUCACCACCUGGACUGUCCUAUGUUGUGGUGACCUGAGGAGGGAACCAGGCUAUCACAACCUGGACUGUCCUGUGUUGUGGUGACCUGAGGAGGGAACCAGGCUAUCACCACCUGGACUGUCCUGUGUUGUGGUGACCUUAGUGUGACAUUUGUGGCCACUGGUCACACACCUGGGUCAUGUUCAUUAGGCCCAGGACUGAAACAGGGAGGGACUACCUGAACGUGUGUUCAUAAGGUACCAAACGGAAGAAGACAGACUGCAACUUCCAGUCCAAUAAGAAACUUAAUUUUUUGGUUUUCAGUUGCAAAACGUUUUGCUACGGUGUGCACUUAUGAACACGACCCUGUUUGGACUUCCUGUCUGUACUGUGACCCAGGCUGGUUCUGGGGGCUGGAGUCCUGCUGCUCUAUCCGUCUCAUUGGUUACGCCUCAAAUGGCACCCUAUUCCCUACAUAGUGUACUGCUUUUGACAAGAGUCCUGUGGGCCCAAGUAGUGCAUCAUACGCUAAAGGGAAUAGGGUGCCAUUUGGGACGUACGGUCUUGCACAUGUCCAUCUACUGUCCAUCAUUCACAUGUCCAUCUACUAUCUAUCAUUCACAUGUCCAUCUACUGUCCAUCAUUCACAUGUCCAUCUACUAUCCAUCAUUCACAUGUCCAUCUACUGUCCAUCUACUGUCCAUCUACUGUCCAUCUACUAUCCAUCAUUCACANNNNNNNNNNUUUUUUUUGCAGCAAUUCAACCAUGAAUGCCUGAUUCACGCAGUCUCCUCUGAACAGUUGAUGUUGAGAUGUGUCUGUCUGUUAAUUGUGAAGCAUUUAUUUGGGCUGUAAUCUGAGGUGCAGUUAACUCUAAUGAACUUAUCCUCUGCAGCAGAGGUAACUCUGGGUCUUCCUUUCCUGUGGCGGUCCGCAUGAGAGCCAAUUUGUGGAGUGGUUGAAAAACAAGUUUUAAUGACUCCAACCUAGUGUAUGUAAACUUCCCACUUCAACUGUAACUGGCUUGUAUGUUAGAUGCUCCAUGAGAUCUAAUAAAAUAUCAUAGUGGUGAUAUUUUUGUGAAGUCUGUUAUUAUUAUUAAGAAGGUGUAAUUUGAGAGAGUAAAUAUCUACUUGGACCUUCCAGCUACUUGAACCUCCAGCACAAUCUCUACUUGGACCGUCCAGCUACUUGGCCCUCCAGCACAAUCUCUACUUGGACCUUCCAGCUACUUGAAACUCCAGCACAAUCUCUACUUGGACCGUCCAGCUACUUGGCCCUCCAGCACAAUCUCUACUUGGACCUUCCAGCUACUUGGUCCUCCAGCACAACUCUACUUGGACCGUCCA